AUGGCCGGCGACGAUGACCUGGCGGCCCUCCACGAGCAGGCAGCCCUGGCCUCCUCCGCCGCCGUCUCGGCCUCCGACCUCGACUUCGCCUUCCAACUCCAGGUCGCCGAGGCGAUCCAAGCAUCUCUUCGCGCCAACACGUCCGCCGCAUCCUCCCCAUUUCAGUCCGCCCCUGUGCUCGAGUCAUCGGACGUUGCAUACGCCCUAGAGGUCCACGCCGCUGACCUCGCUCGCGCCGAGGAGGACCGCCUCGACGCCCAGCGCCUCCGCGAGGCCCACGCCCAAGCGGCCGCCACCGUCCGCAUCGCCGCCCACGACGCCCUCUUCGCGCGCGAGCUCGCCUCCGUCCCAGAGGACCAAUGGGCUCGUGAUGGCGACAACAUCGAGCGCCCCCUCGACCCGACCAAACCCCUCUUCCGCGUCUUCUUCAAGGGCUUGUCGAGCAAGGGGGUGGUGGGGCCGCGGGACCGGGACCCGGGCGUCGCGGUGCUCGCCGUGGCCGUCUGCGACCACCAGGGAAAUGUGGUGCUCAGGAUACAGAAGCCGGUGGAAGCAUCUGUGGGUGGGCACAUGACGCUCGAGGUAAUGGCGCUCACCGAAGGCCUCGAGGCGGCUCUUGGAUUGGGGAUCCAAAGCAUCAAGAUUGUCACCGAUUACAGGGUGCUGUACAACCAUUUGCUUGGAAUUUGGCGGCCAACACAGAAGAAGCUUGCAGAUAUGAUAGAUCAGGUCCUGUCAGUGCGAAAGAAAUUUAAGCAAUGUGAAGUAUUAUUUGUCGAACGAAGGCAACUUGAAUAUGUGAUGAAACUAGCCAAAGAAUCUGUAGAGUCUCAGCUUGCCAAAGCUAUCACUGUGCAUGCUGGCAUGGAGAUGAGAGAGAAUUGCGCAAUCUGCCUUGAAGACACUGAUGUUUCUAAAAUUCAUGCAGUCGAAGGUUGUGCACAUCGCUUUUGCUUCUCCUGCAUGAAGGAGCAUGUGAAAGUUAAGCUACUCCAUGGAAUGCUCCCAGCUUGCCCCCAAGAUGGUUGCACUAAACAGCUGACUGUCGAGGGUUCAAAGGUAUUCCUAUCACCGCGACUCUUAGGGAUCAUGGUGCAACGUAUCAGGGAAGCACAAAUCCCUCCCACUCAAAAGAUUUACUGUCCAUACCCCAAGUGCUCAGCCUUAAUGUCGUUGAGUGAAGUGAUACACCCGAUGCAAGCAUCUUGCUCAAAGUACACUGUUGCUGAUGCGGCCACAUUGAGAAAGUGUGUCAAAUGCAGAGGCUCAUUCUGCAUCAGCUGUAAGGUUCCGUGGCAUGACAGGAUGACUUGCCAUGACUAUAAGAUGAUGCACCCCCAUGCUAAUUCAGAAGAUGCGAAGUUAGAGAACCUUGCAGAGCACCGGCUAUGGCAGAAGUGUGUCAAAUGCCAGCACAUGAUUGAACUCGCGGAGGGUUGCUACCAUAUGACUUGUGUGUGCGGCUAUGAAUUCUGCUACACCUGUGGGAAAGAAUGGAGGGACAAGAAACCGACCUGUUCCUGCCCGCUGUGGGAUGAACACAAUCUAAUUCGUAAUGAUAUUAGGGGCAAUGUUGUCCGUGAAAACAUUCAGGAAGAUGAAGAUGAAUACGAUGAUGAUGAGGACGAUUACUAUGUUCAAGAAGAUGCUCACUAUAACCAGGGGUUUCGGUGA
rnacentral:rRNA from 1 species